GAUGAACGCUGGCGGCGUGCCUAAUACAUGCAAGUCGAGCGAACAGACGAGGAGCUUGCUCCUCUGACGUUAGCGGCGGACGGGUGAGUAACACGUGGAUAACCUACCUAUAAGACUGGGAUAACUUCGGGAAACCGGAGCUAAUACCGGAUAAUAUAUUGAACCGCAUGGUUCAGUAGUGAAAGACGGUUUUGCUGUCACUUAUAGAUGGAUCCGCGCCGCAUUAGCUAGUUGGUAAGGUAACGGCUUACCAAGGCAACGAUGCGUAGCCGACCUGAGAGGAUGAUCGGCCACACUGGAACUGAGACACGGUCCAGACUCCUACGGGAGGCAGCAGUGGGGAAUAUUGCGCAAUGGGCGAAAGCCUGACGGAGCAACGCCGCGUGAGUGAUGAAGGUCUUCGGAUCGUAAAGCUCUGUUAUUAGGGAAGAAAAGAUGUGUAAGUAACUAUGCACGUCUUGACGGUACCUAAACAGAAAGCAACGGCUAACUACGUG
rnacentral:rRNA from 1 species